GACGAACGCUGGCGGCGUGCUUAACACAUGCAAGUCGAACGGUGAAAGCGGAGCUUGCUCCGCUGGAUCAGUGGCGAACGGGUGAGUAACAUGUGCGUGACCUGCCCCUGACUUCGGGAUAACUCCUCGAAAGAGGUGCUAAUACCGGAGACGAAUCCUGCAGGCAUCUGCGGGAUUGGAAAGCUUUUCGGUCAGGGGUGGGCGCGCGGCCUAUCAGUUAGUUGGUGAGGUAGUGGCUCACGAAGGCGACGACGGGUAGCCGGCCUGAGAGGGCGACCGGCCACACUGGGACUGAGACACGGCCCAGACUGCUACGGGAGGCAGCAGUGGGGAAUAUUGCGCAAUGGGCGAAAGCCUGACGCAGCAACGCCGCGUGAGGGACGACGGCCUUCGGGUUGUAAACCUCCUUCAGCAGGGAAGAAGCGAAAGUGACGGUACCUGCAGAAGAAGCACCGGCUAACUACGUGCCAGCCGCCGCCGUAA
rnacentral:rRNA from 1 species